rnacentral:misc_RNA from 1 species
GUAGGUGAACCUGCGGAAGGAUCAUUACUGAGUUAGGGUCCUCUGGGCCUGACCUCCAACCCUUUGUCUACAUUACCUCUUGUUGCUUCGGUGGGCCCGUCCCCUCUAGAAAUAGAGGACGACCGCCGGAGGGUUCACGCCCUCUGGCCCGCGCCCACCGACGGCCCCAACCCAAAAACUCUUGUUUAACCAUGACAUGCCUGACUAAUAAAAAUCAAUAAGUAAAAACUUUCAACAACGGAUCUCUUGG